AUCCAGCUGACGAGUCUAAAAUAGGACGAAACGUUCCUUCUGGAU
rnacentral:hammerhead_ribozyme from 1 species